GAUCAUGGCUCAGGAUGAAUGCUAGCUACAGGCUUAACACAUGCAAGUCGAGGGGAAACGACAUCGAAAGCUUGCUUUUGAUGGGCGUCGACCGGCGCACGGGUGAGUAACGCGUAUCCAACCUGCCCAUCACUUGGGAAUAACCUUGCGAAAGUAAGACUAAUACCCAAUGACAUCCCACGAAGACAUCUGAAUGGGAUUAAAGAUUUAUCGGUGAUGGAUGGGGAUGCGU
rnacentral:rRNA from 1 species